ensembl:lncRNA
GCUCUAAUCACACAAAUAUGAAAACUGAUAUUUAGACGAAGUUUUAUCUCAUGGUUGUGUUCCAUCACUAAACCCAGAAGAAAGUGUUUUACACUUAAGAAUAUAGGAAGUUCCAGCUAAAAUGCUAAUGGUCUAAAAUGUUGGAGGGGCUAGCAGAAGCUUCUCAAAGCUGCAAGCAGUUAAGAGGCAGGCACUUGAGCACUGUUCAGGAGUCAAUGGUGCCUUCGUUCUGCAGGAGCUAGUGGCCCCUAACUGGAAGCACACAUUUUAGACUGAGAAGCUGAGAGCUGCAUCUGGUUAAGCAGGUAUGAAAGGGCAGGUGGCUGUCUCUCCACAACCUUUGCCGUUUUUGGUGAAAAGGAAUUCAACUGUGUGUUUGGGUGAAAAUGAAGAAGCUCUUUUAUGAACAGCUGCUCACACAAAUCAGGAACCGAGGCCUGGGGCCUGGAGUGACCCCAGCUGAGCAGUAUUUAUCCCUGACUGCCCCUAAUGUCCUACAUGUGGAGCUACCUAAGACCAAACAAGCUGGCUUUGGUGAUGGAAGAUGUGACCAGCCUGCUGGAGACAGAGGGUGAGACCCUGUCCCUGGGGGUAGGAAAAGUGCCCAUCCUGGAAAAGAGAUUCUGUAGCAGGACCUGGCACCUGGGCAGGCAGGCUGGCAACAGCUCUGUGCGAUGCUUUGAAUCUUCCAGGCUCCACCUCUUCCUCCAGACACCGGGCCUCAGGUUGCCUGGUCAUUCUCAGCCGCCUGCCUAGGGUUGUUUCAGGCUGAGGAGUGGAAUGGCCCAGGGAACCUCCUCAACACACGUGAAGCGCAUGGUGUUACAAGCCAUGCAAGCGGUUCUGAGAGGCAUUCCCUAAGCUCCCACAGGCGGUCCCACAGGGUCACAGCAUCGGCUACCCAGAGCUGUGACCAGCUGAACAGUGUAUCCCCGGGUGGCUUUCCCUUCUUCCCGUUCACACUCCUCCCUCACCUUGUGCCCUGGGAUCACAAAAGACCUUGUUUCAGGCUCUGCUUUCCCGGGAGCCCAGGCGGACACACAGGGAUGAGUGGAGUGAGGGGGAGCACUCCUCUUCUGGAGCUUCGUGGCUAUCGAUAGACUCAGAAGGGCUCCAUAGUGCUCGGGACGCUCCUGGCGGUGAAGAGACUUGAAUGAGUUUUAGAUGCUGAAGUUUCCUUUGCUCUGGAAAACAAGCUGACUGAAGAAUGCUCCAACCAUUGUUCUCGGAGAAAGCAGUAAAGAAACCCUUGACCUAAACACACAUACUGCAGACUCUGAAACCAGCAGAACUGUUUUGUCUGUUAGUGAAAAACAGCUGGUUUUUGUUGGGCAUGGUGAAGUCAGAGCUCUUCCUCUGUAGAUUUCUGUCCUGGACCUGAGUGGUGAGGGGAAGGCAGCCCAGGGGAGACCAGUGGACCAGGAGCCAGAGGAAUUUCUGGAAGCACAAUCAAGCCUUAGUGUAGGCAGAGAUAGCAUCAGGAACUGACGAGGGGCUCGGGGAAAGUACCACGGUCUGGGGACACAGAUGAGAUACUAGGGAUGGGAAGAAGUUUACAUGAGGGCACUCAGGCCUCAUAAUUUGUCUGAAAGUUGGGCAUCCAUGUCCACAUGGCAUCAUUGUUUGCCACUGGCACCAGUCGCAGAGUUGGAGGAUUUAAUUCACCAUCAAUGGCCACUGUAGCCAGAUGAGGGCAAAGGGCUGGGGUAGCCGGACACGGCCAGGCUGGCUCUGCGAGAAUUCUGAAAACUUGUUCUGCUUCUGCAGCUGCACAUGGAUAAAACAGCCACUGGAUACGGAGGGAGGGCCUGCUGCAGUGACUGUCACAUCCGAGUGUUCUUUAGAUACUGAAAACACUGAAACAAAGACCUUUCAUCUAGCAUGUUUGUUUUUGUUGUAAAUUGAAUAUGCGCUUAUGUUAGAUGAAGAAAAAACUAGAUGAGAAAGCACAUAUCACCUGCAUUCCUGCUGUCCAGCUCUUUCCAUUCACAUUUAAACUCUUUCUAGAAGACUGGGAUAAUCUUCUGUAUUUGUAUUGUAUUUAUUUUCUAAUGGGCUUUUUUAUGAGCGUAUUUUUAAUUAAAUUAAAACAAAUUUAAUGGCUACAUGUCAUUCUGCUUUAUGGCUCUAUAUCCUUUAACUAGUUCUCUAUUGUUGGCCAUUUAGGCUUGUCCUGGUUUUUGUAAUAAUUAACACUCCCAUGGUUAUCUUUCUACAAAAUUCUUUGCCUCAUCCCUGGUAGUUUCUUUAGCGUAGCUUCUCAGGAGUAGAAUUACUGGGACAAGUGACCUGAACUUGGUAAAGCCCACACUACCAAAUUGCCUGCAUCAAGUUGUACUCCCACCAUCUCUAUUAUUGCUUUUGUUACCUUGUGGCAAAAUCUAUUU